CAUGAUUCUUAAGGGAAUUGAAAAUCGCGCCAAGGACUAUCCGGUUGGAGGCAUGGUCCCUGUUGCAGUGGAAGUUCUUAAAGCCAGAGCUUUGAUGAUUCAAGGCAUCUCCACCUUUAUGAAACUUGUUCCUGUUCAGGCUUGCAAGUAAGCUUAAGUCUAUCUAACGAACAACUCUUCAUGUUAUGUCAUGCAUUGCGAUAAUCUCAAUGUUUUCAACUGUGGGUGCGGGACCAUGAUUGUUUUGUUUAACUCUUGGUUGAGACCUUCGAGGUUUAAAGGCUUUGUACAUGUAGCUAUGGGUGUCUCACCUCCAGGCUGACUUCCAUCGCUCAUCUGGAUCCAGAUUCUCCUCCUCCUCAUCGUCCCCCUCUACUGCUUCAGUUUCUUCUCGUCAGAUCUCGAUAUCUCCAACAGCUACGUCAGAAACUCCUCCUUAGCUUCUCUUUCCUCCGCCUCUCUCUUCUUCCCUUUUUCCCUUUCUCGAAAGUUAGUGCUCUCUCAGCUGUAGGUAAUGAGAAGUCGAACAAGUUCUGGGAGGCAGAACUACCAUCAAAUUUUGACAGAAGUAGAAUUGAGAAAUUUAUCCGCACCAAAUUAUCAACUGAAGCUUAUGAUUUAUCAAAUAAACUUGAGGACACGAUUGGUUAAUAUCAUCUACUACUAAUUAUACUAUGGAUUUUACAGGUAUGAAGAGAAAAAUGGUCUCCAAAGGGUGAAACAGAACCAGCUGCAAAACCUGCUGAAACAAACCGUAACAUUAACAAGUUCCCAGAAGGUGUCAAAGGUGGUGUUUCAAGAAAACCAAGGGCACUUUCUCUUGAGGAUGAGAUUUUUACUAAGCACAUGUCUCAAAUAACUCCUCCAGCAAUGAAGUUCCAAGGGAGCAAAUUUGUCAGACUCAGGCCAUGGAACUAAUAGAGAUAUCCAACUAGUAGUUGCAAUAGAAGUCGCUAAGUUUACAAACUGAGUGAAAAUUGCAUUGAUAGCAACGAGAAUUGGUGACUUUGCGCAUCCUUUCAGAUCAUAGUAAGCUGGACAAUCUUUCAAGAUUUCAUUUCCAGAUUCUUUUGUUUUCCAAAUACAAAGAAAACAGAAACACAAUC